rnacentral:lncRNA from 1 species
GAAGAUGACAUUUUAUGUUCUUAAGGAUAUAAGUAUAUAUUUAAUUAAUUUUGAUGUUCAAUAACUAUCUUUCUAAACUAAGUAAUGUCAAGGUUUGUUGCUCAUUACAUGUUUGAUUGAUUUAUAUAAUUGAGGAUGUACUCAUUUGAAAUAUUUAGCUUACAUUAUUUAAUAGAAAUCUCUGGUUCAUAUUCACUUUAUGAUUGUAUAAACAAAAUACAAAAGGGUAAAAAGAUACGUAUUGCUGAAAAAUUGUCAUAUUUUCUUUUUUUUCUAUCUUUUAUGAGUAAUUUUCAUUCUUAUUUAUCAAAUUUAUAGAUCAAGUGAUUUCUGAUAUAGGUUGAUCUUUUGAAGGAUACACAUCUCUACCUUUUUUAUGUUGUCACCCUAUUCAUUUGUGUUUCCUCUUAUUUUCAAUAUUAUUCUUGCGUCACCAAUGAUUAUGAUAGGGUUUUUUGUAUUGUUUUGAUGAGAUUGAGAUGUUUGUUAGGAUUAUGAGGAUCUCACAAUAAUACAGGUGGUGCUAAUAUAACACUCGAAAAAUGAUUGAGUUGGUUUCCUUUAAAACAUACAGUCUCAUUUUCAUUUUCUUGUAAUUAUUCUAUUCUCCUUUUUUCUUUUUCAUUUUCUUGUAAUUAUUCUUUUUUCUUUUUUCUUUUUCAUUUUCUACUUAUAAUUACUAUUUUAGCAUAUUUUUUAAUCUGUGUAACUUAUGUUAAUGGUUUAAUUAUCAGAAUAUAGAAGAUGACAUUUUAUGUUCUUAAGGAUAUAAGUAUAUAUUUAAUUAAUUUUGAUGUUCAAUACAUAUCUUUCUAAACUAAUUAAUGUCAAGGUUUGUUACUCAUUACAUGUUUGAUUGAUUUAUAGAAUUGAGGAUGUACUUAAUACAAAUAUUUAGCUUACAUUACUUAAUAGAAAUCUCUGGUUCAUAAUCAGUUUAUGAUUGUAUAAACAAAAUACAAAGGGUAAAAAAAUACGUACUGCUGAAAAAUUGUCAUAUUUUCCUUUUUUUUCUAUCUUUUAUGAGUAAUUUUCUUUCUUAUCUAUCAAAUGUACAGAUCAAGUGAUUUCUGAUAUAGGUUGAUCUUUUGAAGGUUACACAUCUCUAACUUGUUUAUUUUGUCACUCUAUUCAUCUGUGUUUCCUCUUAUUUUCAAUUUUAUUCUUGCAUCACCAAUGAUUAUGAUAGGGUUUUUCGUAUUGUUUUGAUGAGAUUGAGAUGUUUGUUAGGAUUAUGAGGAUCUCACAAUAAUAAAGUUGGUGCUAAUGUAACACUAGAAAAAUGAUUGGGUUGGUUUCCUUUAAUACAUACGGUCUCAUUUUCAUUGUCUUGUAAUUAUUCUAUUUUCUUUUUUUCUUUUUCAUUUUCUUGUAAUUAUUCUUUUUUCUUUUUUUCUUUUUCAUUUUCUACUUAUAAUUAGUAUUUUAGCAUAUUUUUUAAUCUAUAUAACUUAUGUUAAUUGUUUAAUUAUCAGAAUAUAGAAGAUGACAUUUUAUGUUCUUUAGGAUAUAAGUAUAUAUUUAAUUAAUUUUGAUGUUCAAUACAUAUCUUUCUAAACUAAUUAAUGUCAAGGUUUGUUACUCAUUACAUGUUUGAUUGAUUUAUAUAAUUGAGGAUGUACUUAAUAUAAAUAUUUAGCUUACAUUAUUUAAUAGAAAUCUCUGGUUCAUAAUCACUUUAUGAUUGUAUAAACAAAAUACAAAGGGUAAAAAAAUACGUACUGCUGAAAAAUUGUCAUAUUUUCCUUUUUUUUCUAUCUUUUAUGAGUAAUUUUCUUUCUUAUCUAUCAAAUGUACAGAUCAAGUGAUUUCUGAUAUAGGUUGAUCUUUUGAAGGUUACACAUCUCUAACUUGUUUAUUUUGUCACUCUAUUCAUCUGUGUUUCCUCUUAUUUUCAAUUUUAUUCUUGCAUCACCAAUGAUUAUGAUAGGGUUUUUCGUAUUGUUUUGAUGAGAUUGAGAUGUUUGUUAGGAUUAUGAGGAUCUCACAAUAAUAAAGUUGGUGCUAAUGUAACACUAGAAAAAUGAUUGGGUUGGUUUCCUUUAAUACAUACGGUCUCAUUUUCAUUGUCUUGUAAUUAUUCUAUUUUCUUUUUUUCUUUUUCAUUUUCUUGUAAUUAUUCUUUUUUCUUUUUUUCUUUUUCAUUUUCUACUUAUAAUUAGUAUUUUAGCAUAUUUUUUAAUCUAUAUAACUUAUGUUAAUUGUUUAAUUAUCAGAAUAUAGAAGAUGACAUUUUAUGUUCUUUAGGAUAUAAGUAUAUAUUUAAUUAAUUUUGAUGUUCAAUACAUAUCUUUCUAAACUAAUUAAUGUCAAGGUUUGUUACUCAUUACAUGUUUGAUUGAUUUAUAUAAUUGAGGAUGUACUUAAUAUAAAUAUUUAGCUUACAUUAUUUAAUAGAAAUCUCUGGUUCAUAAUCACUUUAUGAUUGUAUAAACAAAAUACAAAGGGUAAAAAAAUACGUACUGCUGAAAAAUUGUCAUAUUUUCCUUUUUUUUCUAUCUUUUAUGAGUAAUUUUCUUUCUUAUCUAUCAAAUGUACAGAUCAAGUGAUUUCUGAUAUAGGUUGAUCUUUUGAAGGUUACACAUCUCUAACUUGUUUAUUUUGUCACUCUAUUCAUCUGUGUUUCCUCUUAUUUUCAAUUUUAUUCUUGCAUCACCAAUGAUUAUGAUAGGGUUUUUCGUAUUGUUUUGAUGAGAUUGAGAUGUUUGUUAGGAUUAUGAGGAUCUCACAAUAAUAAAGUUGGUGCUAAUGUAACACUAGAAAAAUGAUUGGGUUGGUUUCCUUUAAUACAUACGGUCUCAUUUUCAUUGUCUUGUAAUUAUUCUAUUUUCUUUUUUUCUUUUUCAUUUUCUUGUAAUUAUUCUUUUUUCUUUUUUUCUUUUUCAUUUUCUACUUAUAAUUAGUAUUUUAGCAUAUUUUUUAAUCUAUAUAACUUAUGUUAAUUGUUUAAUUAUCAGAAUAUAGAAGAUGACAUUUUAUGUUCUUUAGGAUAUAAGUAUAUAUUUAAUUAAUUUUGAUGUUCAAUACAUAUCUUUCUAAACUAAUUAAUGUCAAGGUUUGUUACUCAUUACAUGUUUGAUUGAUUUAUAUAAUUGAGGAUGUACUUAAUAUAAAUAUUUAGCUUACAUUAUUUAAUAGAAAUCUCUGGUUCAUAAUCACUUUAUGAUUGUAUAAACAAAAUACAAAGGGUAAAAAAAUACGUACUGCUGAAAAAUUGUCAUAUUUUCCUUUUUUUUCUAUCUUUUAUGAGUAAUUUUGUUUCUUAUCUAUCAAAUGUUAGGAUUAUGAGGAUCUCACAAUAAUAAACGUGGUGCUAGUGUAACACUGGAAAACAUAUUGAGUUGCUUUCCUUUAUACCAUACUGUCUCAUUUUAAAUUUGUUGUUAUUAUUCUAUUUUCUUUUUUUCUUUUUCAUUUUCUAGUAAUUAUUCUAUCUUAUUUUUUUAUUUUUCAUUUUCUACUUAUAAUUAGUAUUUUAGCAUAUUUUUUAAUUUGUAUAACUUAUGUUAAUUGUUUAAUUAUCAGAAUAUAGAAGAUGACAUUUUAUGUUCUUAAGGAUAUAAGUAUAUAUUUAAUUAAUUUUGAUAUUCAAUACAUAUCUUUCUAAACUAGUUAAUAUCAAGGUUUGUUACUCAUUACAUGUUUGAUUGAUUUAUAUAAUUGAGGAUGUACUUAUUAGAAAUAUUUAGCUUACAUUAUUUAAUAGAAAUCUCUGGUUCAUAUUCACUUUAUGAUUGUAUAAACAAACUUAUUAGAAAUAUUUAGCUUACAUUAUUUAAUAGAAAUCUCUGGUUCAUAUUCACUUUAUGAUUGUAUAAACAAAAUACAAAGGGUAGAAAAAUACGUACUGCUGAAAAAUUGUCAUAUUUUUUUUUCUAUCUUUUAUGAGUAAUUUUCCUUCUUUUCUAUCAAAUGUACAGAUCAAGUGAUUUCUGAUAUAGGUUGAUCUUUUGAAGGUUACACAUCUCUACCUUUUUUUUUUGUCACCCUAUUCAUCUGUGUUUCCUCUAAUUUUCAAUUUUAUUCUUGCAACACCAAUGAUUAUGAUAGGGUUUUUCGUAUUGUUUUUAUGAGAUUGAGAUGUUUGUUAGGAUUAUGAGGAUCUCACAAUAAUACAGGUGGUGCUAAUGUAACAUUGGAAAAAUGAUUGAGUUGGUUUCCUUUGAUACAUACAGUCUCAUUUUCAUUUUCUUGUAAUUAUUCUAUUUUCCUUUUUUCUUUUUCAUUUUCUUGUAAUUAUUCUUUUUUCUUUUUCAUUUUCUACUUAUAAUUAGUAUUUUAGCAUAUUUUUUAAUCUGUAUAACUUAUGUUAAAUGUUUAAUUAUCAGAAUAUAGAAGAUGACAUUUUAUGUUCUUAAGGAUAUAAGUAUAUAUUUAAUUAAUUUUGAUGUUCAAUACAUAUCUUUCUAAACUAUUUAAUGUCAAUGUUUGUUACUCAUUACAUGUUUGAUUGAUUUAUAUAAUUGAGGAUGUACUUAAUAGAAAUAUUUAGCUUACAUUAUUUAAUAGAAAUCUCUGGUUCAUAAUCACUUUAUGAUUGUAUAAACAAAAUACAAAGGGUAAAAAAAUACGUACUGCUGAAAAAUUGUCAUAUUUUCUUUUUUUUCUAUCUUUUAUGAGUAAUUUUCAUUCUUAUCUAUCAAAUGUACAGAUCAAGUGAUUUCUGAUAUAGGUUGAUCUUUUGAAGGUUACACAUCUCUACCUUUUUUAUUUUGUCACCCUAUUCAUUUGUGUUUCCUCUUAUUUUCAAUUUUAUUCUUGCGUCACCAAUGAUUAUGAUAGGGUUUUUCGUAUUGUUUUGAUGAGAUUGAGAUGUUUGUUAGGAUUAUGAGGAUCUCACAAUAAUACAGGUGGUGCUAAUGUAACACUGGAAAAAUGAUUGAGUUGGUUUCCUUUAAUACAUACAGUCUCAUUUUCAUUUUCUUGUAAUUAUUCUAUUUUCCUUUUUUCUUUUUCAUUUUCUUGUAAUUAUUCUUAUUUCUUUUUUCUUUUUCAUUUUCUACUUAUAAUUAGUAUUUUAGACUAUUUUUUUAUCUGUGUAACUUAUGUUAAUUGUUUAAUUAAUAGAAUAUAGAAGAUGACAUUUAUUGUUCUUAAGGAUAUAAGUAUAUAUUUAAUUAAUUUUGAUGUUUAAUACAUAUCUUUCUAAACUAUUUAAUGUCAAUGUUUGUUACUCAUUACAUGUUUGAUUGAUUUAUAUAAUUGAGGAUGUACUUAUAACAAAUACUUAGCUGAAAUUACUUAAUAGAAAUCUCUGGUUCAUAAUAAGUUUAAGAUUGUAUAAACAAAAUACAAAGGGUAAAAAAAUACGUACAUCUGAAAAAUUGUCAUAUUUUCCUUUUUAUUCUAUCAUUUAUGAGUAAUUUUCUUUCUUAUCUAUCAAAUGUACGGAUCAAGUGAUUUCUAAUAUAGGUUAAUCUUUUGAAGGUUAUACAUCUCUCAAUCGUUUAUUUUGUCACUCUAUUCAUUUGUGUUUCCUGUUAUUUCCAAUUUUAUUCUUGCAUCACCAAUGAUUAUGAUAGGGUUUUUCGUAUUGUUUUGAUGAGAUUGAGAUUUUUGUUAGGAUAUACUCCUAGAGUGUUAUUAUUUGCACCACGAUCACAUUGUGACCUUUACUGAUUGAGUUGGUUUCCUUUAUACCAUACAGUCUCAUUAUAAGCUUGUUGUUAUUAUUCUUUUUUCUUUUUUUCUUUUUCAUUUUCUAGUAAUUAAUUUAUCUUAUUUUUUUCUUUUUCAUUUUCUACUUAUAAUUAGUAUUUUAGCAUAUUUUUUAAUUUGUAUAAGUUAUGUUAAUUGUUUAAUUAUCAGAAUAUAGAAGAUGACAUUUUACGGUCCUAAGGAUAUAAGUAUAUAUUUAAUUAAUUUUGAUGUUCAAAACAUAUCUUUCUAAACUAAUUAAUGUCAAGGUUUAUUACUCAUUACAUGUUUGAUUGAUUUAUAUAAUCGAGGAUGUACUUAUUAGCAAUAUUUAGCUUACAUUAUUUAAUAGAAAUUUCUGGUUCAUAUUCACUUUAUGAUUGUAUAAACAAAAUACAAAGGGUAAAAAAAUACGUACUGCUGAAAAAUUGUCAUAUUUUCUUUUUUUUUCUAUCUUUUAUGAGUAAUUUUCCUUCUUAUCUAUCAAAUGUAUAGAUCAAGUGAUUUCUGAUAUAGGUUGAUCUUUUGAAGGUCACACAUCUCUACCUUUUUUAUUUUGACACCCUAUUCAUCUGUGUUUCCUCUUAUUUGCAAUUUUAUUCUUGCAACACCAAUGAUUAUGACAGGGUUUUUCGUAUUGUUUUUAUGAGAUUGAGAUGUUAGUUAGGAUUAUGAGGAUCUCACAAUAAUACAGGUGGUGCUAAUGUAACACUGGAAAAACGAUUGAGUUGGUUUCCUUUAAUACAUACAGUCUCAUUUUCAUUUUCUUGUAAUUAUUCUAUUUUCCUUUUUUCUUUUUCUUUUUCUUGUAAUUAUUCUUUUUUCUUUUUUUCUUUUUCAUUUUCUAAUUAUAAUUAUUAUUUUAGCAUAUUUUUUAAUUUGUGUAACUUAUCUUAAUUGUUUAAUUAUCAGAAUAUAGAAGAUGACAUUUUAUGUUCUUAAGGAUAUAAGUAUAUAUUUAAUUAAUUUUGAUGUUCAAUACAUAUCUCUCUAAACUAUUUAAUGUCAAUGUUUUUUACUCAUUACAUGUUUGAUUGAUUUAUAUGAAUGGGGAUGUACUUAAUGAAAAUAUUUUGCUUACAUUAUUUAAUAGAAAUCUUUGGUUCAUAUUCACUUUAUGAUUGUAUAAACAAAAUACCAAGGGUAAAAAAAUACGUACUGCUGAAAAAUUGUCAAAUUAUCUUUUUUUUCUAUCUUUUAUGAGUAUUUUUCAUUCUUAUCUAUCAAAUGUACAGAUCAUGUGAUUUCUGAUAUAGGUUGUUCUUUUGAAGGUUACACAUCUCUACCUUUUUUAUUUUGUCACCCUAUUCAUCUGUGUUUCCUCUUAUUUUCAAUUUUAUUCUUGCGUCACCAAUGAUUAUGAUAGGGUUUUUCGUAUUGUUUUGAUGAGAUUGAGAUGUUUGUUAGGAUUAUGAGGAUCUCACAAUAAUACAGGUGGUGCUAAUGUAACACUGGAANCAAUUAACAUAAGUUACACAGAUUAAAAAUAUGCUAAAAUACUAAUUAUAAGUGGAAAAUGAAAAAGAAAAGAAAAAAGAAAUAAUUACAAGAAAUGAAAAAGAAAAAAGGAAAAUAGAAUAAUUACAAGAAAAUGAAAAUGGAGACUGUAUGUAUUAAAGGAAACCAACUCAAUCAUUUUUCCAGUGUACAUUAGCACCACCUGUAUUAUUUGUGAGAUCCUCAUAAUCCUAACAAAACAUCUCAAUCUCAUCAAAACAAUACGAAAAACCCUUCAUAAUCAUUGGUGUGCAAGAAUAAAAUUGAAAAUAAGAGGAAACACAGAAAUGAAUAGGGUGACAAAAUUAAAAAAGGUAGAGAUGUGUGAACCUUCAAAAGAUCAACCUAUAUCAGAAAUCACUUGAUCUGUAAAUUGAUAGAUAAGAAGAAAAUUACUCAUAAAAUAGAAAAAAAAGAAAAUAUGACAAUUUUUCAGCAGUACGGAUUUUUUUACCCUUUGUAUUUUGUUAUACAAUCAUAAAUGAAUAUGAACAGAGAUUUCUAUUAAAUAAUGUAAGCUAAAUAUUUCUAAUAAGUACAUCCUCAAUUAUAUAAAUCAAUCAAACGUAAUGAGUAACAAACCUUGACAUUAAGUGUUAGAAGAUAUGUAUGAACAUCAAAAUUAAUUAAAUAUAUACUUAUUACCGUAAGAACAUAAAAUGUCAUCUUCUAUAUUUGAUAAUUAAACAAUUAACAUAAUUAUACAGAUAAAAAUAUGCUAAAAUACUAAUUAUAAUGAGAAAAUGAAAAAGAAAAAAUAAAAUAAAGUAAUUACAAGACCAAAAGAAAAGAAAAAAAAGAAAAAGAAUAAUACAACAAAUUAAAUGAGACGUAUGGUAUAAAGGAAACCAACUCAAUCAAGUUUUCCAGUGUUACACUAGCACCACGUUAUUAUUUUGAGGAUCCUCAUAAUCCUAACAAAAUCUCAAUCUCAUCAAAACAAUACGAAAAAAAACCUAUCAUAAUCAUUGGUGAUGCAAGAAUAAAAUUGAAAAUAAACAGGAAACACAAAUGAAUAGAGUGACAAAAUAAAACAAAGUAGAGAUGUAAACCUUCAAAGAUGAAACUAUAUAGAAAUCACUUUAAUCCGUUACAUUUGAUAGAUAAGAAAAAUACUCAUAAAAGAUAGAAAAAAAAGGAAAAUAUGACAAUUUUUCAGCAGUACAUAUUUUUUUACCCUUUGUAUUUGUUUAUACAAUCUAAACUGAUUGAUGAACCAGAGAUUUCUAUUAAGUUGUAAGCUAAAUAUUUGUAUUAAGUACAUCCUCAAUUAUAUAAUCAUUCAAACAGUAAUGAGUAACAAAACAUUGACAUUAAAUAGUUUAGAAAGAUAUGUAUUGAACAUCAAAUUAAUAUAAUAUAUUACUUAUAUCCUUAAGAACAUAAAAUGUCAUCUUCUAUAUUCGAUAAUUAAACAAUUAACAUAAGUUACACGAAUUAAAAAAUAUGCUAAAAUACUAAUUAAAGUAGAAAUGAAAAAGAAGAAGAAAAAGAAUAAUUACAAGAAAAUGAAAAAAAGAAAAAAGGAAAAUAGAAUAAUUACAAGAAAAUGAAAAUGAGACUGUAUGUAUUAAAGGAAACCAACUCAAUCAUUUUUCAGUGUUACAUUAGCACCACCUGUAUUAUUGUGAGAUCCUCAUAAUCCUAAACAACAUCUCAAUCUCAUCAAAAACAAUACGAAAAACCCUAUCAUAAUCAUUGGUGACGCAAGAAUAAAAUUGAAAUAAGAGGAAACACAAAUGAAUAGGGUGACAAAUAAAAAAGGUAGAGAUGUGUAACCUUCAAAAGAUCAACCAUAUCAGAAAUCACUUGAUCUGUACAUUUGAUAGAUAAGAAUGAAAAUUACUCAUAAAAAUAGAAAAAAAGAAAAUAUGACAAUUUUUCAGCAGUAACGUAUUUUUUUACCCUUUGUAUUUUGUUUAUACAAUCAUAAAUGAAUAUGAACCAGAAUUCAUUAAAUAAUGUAAGCUAAAUAUUUUCUAAUAAGUACAUCCUCAUUAUAUAAAUCAAUCAAACUGUAAUGAGUAACAAACCUUGACAUUUAAUGUUUAGAAAGAUAUGUAUUGAACACAAAUAAUUAAAUUAUACUUAUAACCUUAAGAACAUAAAAUGUCAUCUUCUAUAUUUGAUAAUUAAACAAUUAACAUAAGUUAUACAGAAUUAAAAAUAUGCUAAAUACUAAUUAUAAUAGAAAUGAAAAAAAAGAAAAAAAUAAGAAUAAUUACAAGAAAAUGAAAAGAAAAAAAGAAAUAGAAUAAUAACAACAAAUUUAAAUGAGACCGUUAUGGUAUAAAGGAAACCACUCAAUAGUUUCCAGUGUUACACUAGCACCACGUUAUUAUUUUGAGACCUCAUAAUCCUAACAAAAAAUCUCAUCUCAUCAAAACAAUACGAAAAACCCUAUCAUAAUCAUGGUGGAUGCAAGAAUAAAAAUGAAAUAACAGGAAACACAAAUAAUAGAGUGACAAAAUAAACAAGUUAGAGAUGUAUAACCUUCAAAGAUAACCUAUAUCAGAAAUCACUUGAUCUGUACAUUGAUAGAUAAGAAAGAAAAUUACUCAUAAAAGAUAGAAAAAAAGAAAAAAUAUGACAAAUUUUCAGCAUACGUAUUUUUUUACCCUUUGUAUGUUUGUUUAUACAAUCAUAAAUUGAUAUGAACAGAGAUUUCUAUUAAGAAUGUAAGCAAAUAUUGUUUAUAAGUACAUCCUCAAUUAUAUAAAUCAAUCAACAUGUAAUGAGUAACAAACAUUGACAAUAAAUAGUUUAGAAAGAUAUGUAUUGAACAUCAAAAUUAAUUAAAUAUAUACUUAUAUCCUUAGAACAUAAAAUGUCAUCUUCUAUAUUUUGAUAAUUAAACAAUUAACAUAAGUUCAUACAGAUUAAAAAAUAUGCUAAAUACUAAUUAUAAUAGAAAAUGAAAAAAAAAAGAAAAAGAAUAAUUAAAAAAAUGAAAAAGAAAAAAGAAAAUAGAAUAAAACAAAAAUGAAAUGAGACCGUAUGUAUUAAAGGAAACCACUCAAUAUUUUCCAGUGUUACAUAGCACCCACGUUUAUUAUUGUGAGAUCCUCAUAAUCCUAACAAAAAUCUCAAUCUCAUCAAAACAAUACGAAAAACCCUAUCAUAAUCAUUGGUGAGCAAGAAUAAAUAAAAUAAAGGAAACACAAAUGAAUAGGUGACAAAAUAAAACAAGUUUAGAGAUGUUAACCUUCAAAGUAACCUAUAUCAGAAAUCACUAUUCCGUACAUUGAGUAGAUAAGAAAAAAUUACUCAUAAAAGAUAGAAAAAAAAGAAAAUAUGACAAUUUUCAGCAAGUACAUAUUUUUUUACCCUUUGUAUUUUGUUUAUACAAUCAAUAAUGAUUAUGAACCAAGAUUUCUAUUUAAUAAUGAAGCUAAAUAUUUUAUUAAGUACAUCCUCAUUAUAUAAAUCAAUCAAACAUGUAAUGAGUAACAAACAUUGACAUUAAAUAGUUUAGAAAGAUAUGUAUUGAACAUCAAAAUUAAUUAAAUAUAUACUUAUAUCCUUAGAACAUAAAAUGUCAUCUUUCUAUAUUCUGAUAAUAAACAAUUAACAUAAGUUACACAGAUUAAAAAUAUGCUAAAAUACUAAUUAUAAGUUAGAAAUGAAAAAGAAAAGAAAAAGAAUAAUUACAAGAAAAUGAAAAAGAAAAAAGAAAAUAGAAUAAUUACAAGAAAAUGAAAAUGAGACUGUAUGUAUUAAAGGAACCAACUCAAUCAUUUUUCCAUGUACAUUACCACCUGUAUUAUUGUGAGAUCCUCAUAAUCUACAAAAACAUCUCAAUCUCAUCAAAACAUACGAAAAAACCCGUAUCAUAAUCAUUGGUGAGCAAGAAUAAAAUUGAAAAAUAAGAGGAAACACAGAUGAAUAGGGUGCACAAAAUAAAAAAGUAGAGAUGUUGUAACCUUCAAAAGAUCAAACCUAUAUCAGAAAUCACUUUAUCGUACAUUUGAUAGAUUAAGAAGAAAAUUACUCAUAUAAAAAUAGAAAAAAAGAAAAUAUGACAAUUUUUCAGCAGUACUGUAUUUUUUUACCCUUUGUAUUUUGUUUAUACAAUCAUAAAGUGAAUAUGAACCAGAGAUUUCUAUUAAAGUAAUGUAAGCUAAAUAUUUCUAAUAAGUACAUCCUCAAUUAUAUAAACAAUCAAACGUGUAAUGAGUAAAAAACCUUGACAUUAAUUAGUUUAGAAAGAUAUGUAUUGAACAUCAAAAAUUAAUUAAUAUAUACUUAUCCUUAAGAACUAAAAUGUCAUCUUCUAUAUUCUGAUAAUUAACAAUUAACAUAGUUAUAGCAAUAAAAAAAUAUGCUAAAUACUAAUUAUAAUAGAAAAUGAAAAAGAAAAAUAAAAUACAUAAUACAAGAAAAUGAAAAAGAAAAAAAAAAAAUGAAUAAUAACAACAAAUUGUAAAAUGAGACCGUAUGGUAUAAAGGAAACCAACUCAAUAGUUUUCCAGUGUUACACUUAGCACCACGUUUAUUAUUGUGAGAUCCUCAUAAUCCUAACAAAAAUCUCAAUCUCAUCAAAACAAUACGAAAACCCUAUCAUAAUCAUUGGUGAUGCAGAAUAAAUUGAAAAUAACAGGAAACACAAAUGAAUAGAGUGACAAAAUAAACAGUUGUGAGAUGGUAUAACCUUCAAAAAGAUACCUAUAUCAGAAAUCACUUAAUCCGUUCAUUUGAUAGAUAAGAAAAAAUUACUCAUAAAAGAUAGAAAAAAAGGAAAAUAUUGACAUUUUCAGCAUACGUAUUUUUUUACCCUUGUAUUUUUUUAUACAAUCAUAAACUUAUUAUGAACCAGAGAUUUCUAUUAAGUAUGUAGCUAAAUAUUGUAUUAAGUACAUCCUCAAUUAUUAUAAAUCAAUCAAACAUGUAAUGAGUAACAAACAUGACAUUUAAUAGUUUAGAAAGAUAUGUAUUGAACAUCAAAAUUAAUUAAAUAUAUACUUAUAUCCUUAAGAACAUAAAAUGUCAUCUUCUAUAUCUGAUAAUAAACAAUUACAUAAGUUACACAGAUAAAAAAUAUGCUAAAAUACUAAUUAUAAGUAGAAAAUGAAAAAAAAAGAAAAAAGAAUAAUACAAGAAAUGAAAAAGAAAAAGGAAAAAUAGAAUAAUUACAAGAAAAUGAAAAUGAGACUGUAUGUAUUAAAGGAAACCAACUCAAUCAUUUUUCCAGUGUUACAUUAGCACCACCUGUAUUAUUGUGAGAUCUCAUAAUCCUAACAAACAUCUCAAUCUCAUCAAAACAAUACGAAAAACCCUAUCAUAAUCAUUGGUGACGCAAGAAUAAAAUUGAAAAUAAGAGGAAACACAAUGAAUAGGGUGACAAAAUAAAAAAGGUAGAGAUGUGUAACCUUCAAAGAUCAACCUAUAUCAGAAAUCACUUGAUCUGUACAUUUGAUAGAUAAGAAUGAAAAUUACUCAUAAAAAUAGAAAAAAAGAAAAUAUGACAAUUUUCAGCAGUACGUAUUUUUUUACCCUUUGUAUUUGUUUAUAAAUCAUAAAGUGAAUAUGAACCAGAGGAUUCUAUUAAUAAUGUAAGCUAAAUAUUUCUAAUAAGUACAUCUCAUUAUAUAAAUCAAUCAAACUGUUAAUGAGUAAAAACCUUGACAUUAAUUAGUUUAGAAGAGUAUGUAUUGAACAUCAAAAUUAAUUAAAUAUAUACUUAUACCUUAGAACAUAAAAUGUCAUCUUCUAUAUUGCUGAUAAUUAAACAUUAACAUAAGUUAUACAGAUUAAAAAAAUAUGCUAAAAUAACUAAUUAUACUAGAAAAUGAAAAAAAAAAAAAAAUAGAAUAAUUCAACAAAAUGAAAAGAAAAAAGAAAAAUAGAAAUAAUCAACAAAUUAAAUGAGACCGUAUGGUAUAAAGCGGAAAAAACCAGCUUCAAUAAGUUUUCCAGUGUUACACUAGCACCACGUUUAUUUUAUGUUCUUAAGGAUAUAAGUAUAUAUUUAAUUAAUUUUGAUGUUUAAUACAUAUCUUUCUAAACUAUUUAAUGUCAAUGUUUGUUACUCAUUACAUGUUUGAUUGAUUUAUAUAAUUGAGGAUGUACUUAUAACAAAUAUUUAGCUGAAAUUACUUAAUAGAAAUCUCUGGUUCAUAAUAAGUUUAAGAUUGUAUAAACAAAAUACAAAGGGUAAAAAAAUACGUACAUCUGAAAAAUUGUCAUAUUUUCCUUUUUAUCUUAUCUUUUAUGAGUAAUUUUAUUUCUUAUCUAUCAAAUGUACGGAUCAAGUGAUUUCUAAUAUAGGUUAAUCUUUUGAAGGUUAUACAUCUCUCAAUCGUUUAUUUUGUCACUCUAUUCAUUUGUGUUUCCUGUUAUUUUCAAUUUUAUUCUUGCAUCACCAAUGAUUAUGAUAGGGUUUUUCGUAUUGUUUUGAUGAGAUUGAGAUUUUUGUUAGGUCUAUGAGGAUCUCACAAUAAUAAACGUGGUGCUAGUGUAACACUGAUUUUCAAUUUUAUUCUUGCAUCACCAAUGAUUAUGAUAGGGUUUUUCGUAUUGUUUUGAUGAGAUUGAGAUUUUUGUUAGGUCUAUGAGGAUCUCACAAUAAUAAACGUGGUGCUAGUGUAACACUGAAAAACUGAUUGAGUUGGUUUCCUUUAUACCAUACAGUCUCAUUAUAAGGGUGUUGUUAUUAUUCUAUUUUCCUUUUUUCUUUUUCAUUUUCUUGUAAUUAAUUUAUCUUAUUUUUUUCUUUUUCAUUUUCUACUUAUAAUUAGUAUUUUAGCAUAUUUUUUAAUUUGUAUAAGUUAUGUUAAUUGUUUAAUUAUCAGAAUAUAGAAGAUGACAUUUUACGGUCCUAAGGAUAUAGGUAUAUAUUUAAUUAAUUUUGAUGUUCAAUACAUAUCUUUCUAAACUAAUUAAUGUCAAGGUUUGUUACUCAUUACAUGUUUGAUUGAUUUAUAUAAUUGAGGAUGUACUUAUUAGCAAUAUUUAGCUUACAUUAUUUAAUAGAAAUCUCUGGUUCAUAUUCACUUUAUGAUUGUAUAAACAAAAUACAAAGGGUAAAAAAAUACGUACUGCUGAAAAAUUGUCAUAUUUUCUUUUUUUUUCUAUCUUUUAUGAGUAAUUUUCCUUCUUAUCUAUCAAAUGUACAGAUCAAGUGAUUUCUGAUAUAGGUUGAUCUUUUGAAGGUCACACAUCUCUACCUUUUUUAUUUUGUCACCCUAUUCAUCUGUGUUUCCUCUUAUUUUCAAUUUUAUUCUUGCAACACCAAUGAUUAUGACAGGGUUUUUCGUAUUGUUUUUAUGAGAUUGAGAUGUUUGUUAGGAUUAUGAGGAUCUCACAAUAAUACAGGUGGUGCUAAUGUAACAUUGGAAAAAUGAUUGAGUUGGUUUCCUUUAAUACAUACAGUCUCAUUUUCAUUUUCUUGUACGUAUUCUAUUUUCCUUUUUUCUUUUUCUUUUUCUUGUAAUUAUUCUUUUUUCUUUUUUCUUUUUCAUUUUCUAAUUAUAAUUAUUAUUUUAGCAUAUUUUUUAAUCUGUGUAACUUAUGUUAAUUGUUUAAUUAUCAGAAUAUAGAAGACGACAUUUUAUGUUCUUAAGGAUAUAAGUAUAUAUUUAAUUAAUUUUGAUGUUCAAUACAUAUCUUUCUAAACUAUUUAAUGUCAAUGUUUUUUACUCAUUACAUGUUUGAUUGAUUUAUAUAAAUGGGGAUGUACUUAAUGAAAAUAUUUAGCUUACAUUAUUUAAUAGAAAUCUUUGGUUCAUAUUCACUUUAUGAUUGUAUAAACAAAAUACCAAGGGUAAAAAAAUACGUAAUGCUGAAAAAUUGUCAUAUUAUCUUUUUUUUUCUAUCUUUUAUGAGUAUUUUUCAUUCUUAUCUAUCAAAUGUACAGAUCAUGUGAUUUCUGAUAUAGGUUGUUCUUUUGAAGGUUACACAUCUCUACCUCUUUUAUUUUGUCACCUUAUUCAUCUGUGUUUCCUCCUAUUUUCAAUUUUAUUCUUGCGUCACCAAUGAUUAUGAUAGGGUUUUUCGUAUUGUUUUGAUGAGAUUGAGAUGUUUGUUAGGAUUAUGAGGAUCUCACAAUAAUACAGGUGGUGCUAAUGUAACACAUUUUCGUAUUGUUUUGAUGAGAUUGAGAUGUUUGUUAGGAUUAUGAGGAUCUCACAAUAAUACAGGUGGUGCUAAUGUAACACUGGAAAAAUGAUUGAGUUGGUUUCCUUUAAUACAUACAGUCUCAUUUUUAUUUUCUUGUAAUUAUUCUAUUUUCCUUUUUUCUUUUUCAUUUUCUUGGAAUUAUUCUUUUUUCUUUUUUCUUUUUCAUUUACUACUUAUAAUUAGUAUUUUAGCAUAUUUUUUAAUCUGUGAAACUGAUGUUAAUUGUUUAAUUAUCAGAAUAUAGAAGAUGACAUUUUAUGUUCUAAAGGAUAUAAGUAUAUAUUUAAUUAAUUUUGAUGUUCAAUACAUAUCUUUUUAAACUAAUUAAUGUAAAGGUUUGUUACUCAUUACAUGUUUGAUUGAUUUAUAGAAUUGAGGAUGUACUUAAUACAAAUAUUUAGCUUAUAUUACUUAAUAGAAAUCUCUGGUUCGUAAUCAGUUUAUGAUUGUAUAAACAAAAUACAAAGGGUAAAAAAAUACGUACUGCUGAAAAAUAGUCAUAUUUUCCUUUUUUUUCUAUCUUUUAUGAGUAAUUUUCUUUCUUAUCUAUCAAAUGUACGGAUCAAGUGAUUUCUGAUAUAGGUUAAUCUUUUGAAGGUUACACAUCUCUAACUUAUUUUUUUUUUGUCACUCUAUUCAUCUGUGUUUCCUCUUAUUUUCAAUUUUAUUCUUGCAUCACCAAUGAUUAUGAUAGGGUUUUUCGUAUUGUUUUGAUGAGAUUGAGAUAUUUGUUAGGAUUAUGAGGAUCUCACAAUAAUAAUGUUGGUGCCAAUGUAACACUAGAAAAAUGAUUGGAUUGGUUUCCUUUAAUACAUACGGUCUCAUUUUCAUGGUCUUCUAAUUAUUCUAUUUUAUUUUUUUCUUCUUCAUUUUCUUGUAAUUAUUCUUUUUUUCUUUUUUUCUUUUUCUUUUUCUACUUAUAAUUAGUAUUUUAGCAUAUUUUUUAAUCAAUAUAACUUAUGUUAAUCGUUUAAUUAUCAAAAUAUAAAAGAUGACAUUUUAUGUGCUUUAGGAUAUAAGUAUAUAUUUAAUUAAUGUUGAUGUUCAAUACAUAUCUUUCUAAACUAGUUAAUGUCAAGGUUUGUUACUCAAUAAAUGUUUGAUUGAUUUAUAUAAUUGAGGAUUUACUUAAUAUAAUUAUUUCGGUUACAAUAUUUAAUAGAAAUCUCUGGUUCAUAAUUUUAUAGCUCACUUAUGAGCACCUAUAAAAAUCAUCUAUGUUGGAUAUCUCUUAUUUUCUUACUUUUUAUUUCUUGUAUCAUUUCAUGGAAUUAGUGAUAGAGCAGGUUUUUUCACUCAUUGUCCAUUGAUGUAGGACAUUUUAAGGACUGUUUGUUAGGAUUAUGAGGACUGCAUUCAACUUUAAUAAGAUUAUGGGUGCUACAUUGCUAUUCUCACGAAUACAUUAAUGGAUUGGGUUCUAAAGUUUUACCUAAUUAAUAUCAAUACAAUUAAACGGUUCUGCAUUUAAUAAUUAAUCGCGUACUUUUUGUAAUUAUUUCCACGUAUUUCAUUUCUUUUUUUCUGUUAUUCAUUUUUUAUAUGUAUAAUAUAUUCUUUUUUUCAAUUUUUCUUUUCAUUCUUUCAUACACAUUUAUAACUCUAAGUAUUUUUACGAUUGCUAUAUUUUUUAAGCUAUAUAACUUAGGGUUGAAUAGUUUCCAUAUUCAAGAAAUAAAUAGACAGAUAGAUUCAUUUCCAAAGAUAGCAUUUAAGGAUAUAAAGUAUUAAAUAUUGUAAUUAAUGUUAUGAUUUUUCUUAAUAUUAUAUACUUCUAACACUAAUCUUGUAUUAAGGUUUGUUACUCAAUAAAUGUUUGAUUGAUAAAUAAAUUGAUGAUAUCUAUCUGUAAUUAUACAAAUUAGGUUUGCUUACAUAUAAUAUAUUAAUAGAUAACUACUGGUUCAUAAUCCACUUUAUGAUUGUGAUAGAACAAGGGAACAUUUAUCUAUAGGGUAGAAAAAUACGUAGCUGCUCCAUUGAACCUAUAUUGUACAUAUUUUCCCUCUUUCUUUCUAGUCUUUUAUUAUGAGUAAUUUUUUUUCCUUAUCUCCAUCAAACGUACGGAACCUAAUGAGGAUUUUCUUGUUAUAUAGGGUUUAAUUACUUUUGCUAGGUUACACAUCUCUGAACUUUGUUCAUAAUAUUUAUGUCACUCAUAGGUUCAUCUAUGUUUCCUCUUUAUUUUACCAAUUUUAUUCUUGCCAUCACCAAUCAGAAUUUUAAAUAGGAAUCAGGUUGUUUUCAGAUAUUGUUGUGAUGAAGAUUGAGAUAGAAUUCUGUUAGGUAAAAUUAUGAGGAUCAAAUCACAAAUAAUAAAAUAAAGUUGGUGCCAAGUUUGUGACACAACCUAAAGAAUUUAAAUUUGAUUGGAUUGGUUUCCUUUAAAUUAUCAUAGAAGAUGAAUUUUUAUGCUUCUAUGUAGGAUAUAUAGUAUACCACACUAUUUAGAUUAAUCUUUGAUGUUCCAUCACUUUACACCUCACUCCAUUACUAAAUUAAUUAAUUUCAAAAGGUUUGUUUAACUCACUAAGUCUUCAUUGUACUUUGUAUUUGAUAAUAUUGAGGAUUAACUCUAUAUAUUAUGACCAUCUAUUUACGCCAUUAUCAAAUAUUUAAUAGAAUAUCCCCCUCCGCGCUCCUCAUAAAUCCUUCUUAUGAUUGAAUGAUAUUAACCAAAUACAAAUGGUAAAAAAAUACCGUACUGAACUGAAUAAAUUGUCCAUAUUUUCCUUUUUUUUUCUAUCUUGGUUAAUGAGUAAUGUUUGUUUUAUUCUUAUCUAUCAAAUGUACGCGAAUUCACUUUGAUUUCUGCUAUACGCUUCUAUCACCUUUUGAACGGUUAUAACAUUCUCUAAACUUGUUAUUUUGUCACUCUAUUCAUCUAUGUUUCUCUUAUUUUCAAUUUUAUUCUUGCAAUCACCAGGAUUUAUGAGUACGGUUUUGUUAACACAUAUUGGGAAAUAUUGAUGAGAUUAAGCCUGAUGUUGUUGGCAUUUGGAGGACUCACAAUAAUAAGUUGGUGCUAAUGUAACACUCAGAUCAAAUGGAUUGGGAUUAGUUUCCCUUUAAUUACAUCACGCAGUAUCAAAUUUAUAACAUGUCUUGUAAUUCCCUAAAUUCCAUAUACUUGAAGAUCGAGACUGUUUGCAUUUCCAUUUAUUUCUUUUCUAUCUUUCUAUUGUAAUAAUGCCAUUUUCUUUUUUUACUAAUUUUUCAUUCUUUUCUCUGGGAGCCUAGAGCCUCUGUAGUUAGAAUGGUAGCUAUUAAUUAAAGACCUAACCCUCUAUAUUUUUUUAUCAAACGUCUAUAUAACUAUUUUAACUUCGGCCUCACCGAUUUAAUUCAAUUAACAACCAUUCAUUUUUCAUUCACUACAGACCACUUAUGUAGAAGAUGCCAUAAUGGGUCUACUGAGGGGCGUCGCUCGUAAUAGUUCGCAACAUCAUAUAUCAUCUUUUUCAUAAAGGUGGAUUGUGAAUUCUUGAGUCUCACCAUUGGAUAGAAUUCUAUUGUAUGAUAAAUUAAUUGUUUGGGUCUUGAGGUAGAAUUCCAAUCGGUUACAUUCUUUCUAAGAGUAAAGCAUUCACUGUAAAUAGAAAUUUUAAUCGAGAAUUUUCUAUUAAGGUGAUUUUUGUUGGUGGGUUAUAUAGUUACUUCUUGAAUUUCAAGUAAAUAGAUUUUGUAUUGUGUAUAUGAAUAUUUUUCUUUUAGGAUUCGAAUAAUUGAUGAUUUAUUCGGCUUGCUUGAGAAUAUAUUGAUGAAAUAUUAGUGAUUCAUAAGCAUGGUUGAUAUUUUGCUGUGUCAGGAUAUUUGUAAUACGUUAGGUAACAGUCUCUGGUUCAUAAUCACUAUUCGGGAUUGAUUCAGUUAUAAUGGGUAUGAAUGGCCAAGGUUAAAUACAAGGGUACAGGGUAGAAUUUUAUAAUGAGCUGCUUGAUGAUUUUCUGGUGAUGAGCUGAUGAAGAUAUGAUAACUGACAGUCUGUGAUUUCAUUUCCCCAAGAAACGCUGUUAGAUCCGUUUGCCCUGGCUUUGAAUGUUCAAAUUCGUUGUUCCGCGGGAACCAUUAUGUCAUUGAUCACAAUUCAGCAUUCGGCCUGCUUUCUGCUCUUCAGACUGAUCUUUAUAGUAAUUUUUUUUCCUUAUCUCACUCACUUUUCAAAGUUAGUAUCGCAGGGUCGUUUUACACUUUUUUAAGCUGGGUGUGGCAUAUAUAUAACCAAGGCUUUUGCUCAAUUUGUUCAGAAUUUUACAAUUCAUUUUCAUUCUUUUUCGUUUGUUCAGAGCAUAGUUUUAUAUUUCUCGUGUUUCUUCAAAAAAAUCAUUCAAAUAAUUCAUGGAUGAUUCCAAUUGGGUGUGCGUUGUAAUUGUUAAGCAUUUACAUCUCCAGGUUUUUUAUCUAGCAUCUACGUUGUUUAUAGGUUUCUCGAUACUAUAAGUAUGUUAGCAGGAGUUUUUAUUUUGGGUUCUAUGUUAUGUAAUCUUUUGAUUCAUUGUGCUAUGAGCCCUUUUGCCUAGUUUUUGCCAUUUAAUCUUCAUUUAGAAUCUUUGAUGCCUGCUUCAAAAUGCUUGGAAAUUUUUAUAUGCAUCAUCGAUCUAGACUCUUUCCUGGUGAUUUUGGUAUGUGUGUUCUGUGGUUGCUGUUAUUUUUUGAGUUCCAUUGGUUGAGCAUUGUCAUGAACAUAGUAUCUUUUUUGGAUGUGUUUUACAUUUUGGCAUUGCCUUCCUGUGCAUCUUCCUAUUUUGCUAUUUAGGGGCAAUGUGCUUAUUGAACUUCGAAUUAUCGCAGCUAAGAUUUGUAUUGGAUUAUGUAGGAAUACUGAAUUAAAGAAUGUUGAGAAGGACAUGUCGAAAUUUUGUUGGAUUAUUUUUGUAAAGGCAUUUUCCUCAUUUGAUUGGCAUUGUAUUGUUAGUUUUGGGUCUCUGCUGUGAUGAGAACCAAUUGUUUGACUGAGUUGGAUUGCAGGGUCUAUUUGUGUUUUUAGAGUGGUUAUGGGUGUAAUUUACUCGGGUUUAAUUAAUUGGAGGUUGAGUUGAAAAGUAUUUGACCAUGUUUCAUAGUACAGGACAUAAUUGAAUGUGGACAUAUCUUAUGACAUUUGUCCCUUGGUCAUUGUCCUAUUAAUGUCAAAAUGGAUAUUGCUCUUCUGUUUUGAUUGAUGAAAUGAAUGCAAUGUUUGAUAGAAUAUGCCAUGUAUUAAUACUGAUUUCAAUCUGUCUGGAGCUUCUUGGGAAAAUUUUCAUUGGACGGGCUUCCCUUGGUUCCAAAAUGAGUCUUCUACAAUUUCGUUAUGUAUUAUAGAUAUGAUUCAUUAGGACAAUACUGUUUGUACAGAUCAUUGAAUUUUUUAAGGAAUUUAUUUAGAAUGUAUGUUUUGGGUUAUCUUUUAGGAUAUAAGUUGAUUUGAAUUUUAUGUGUAUCCUCACUAAUUUUAAUUUUGAUGUUCAACUGUUUGGUCCUUUGAGGUUCUAGAUACAUUGGCAUGGUUUGUUGCUUUUCCUUCCUUUUGAAAUGAUAAUUCUAGAUGAAUAGAAUAGUAAUGUUGGAAAAUUAAUUUCCACUUUGGAAGUUGGGAUUUUUUUUAAGUUGUUUUUGGAUUACCUUCUAGCGAUUUGGGGAUAAUUUUUCAACAUUUCGCUAGUUUGAAAUAUUUUGUCAACGCUCUUUUUGAUCCGCUUUGAUGUGCUUACUCUAGUGGUCUUGUUACUCAUUAUGUCAUAUUGAGAGGAUUACGUUAAUUUUAGGCUUUUAUCAGGAUUUGGAAAAGCAAAAUUGACUUUAAGUUAGCUUACAAUAUUUUAAUAGAAACGGCUGGUGGUCAUAGAUUCAUGCAAUGUUGAUCAUUGAGCUUGUUUUCGACUUUGUUUAUUGAGUUGAUACUACUAUUGUUUGUUUUUGUUAGGAAUGACUACACUACACUUUGGCUAUUGGAGCCUUUAUGCUUGCAACAUAGAUGAUGGGGUUGUUAUUAUGGGUAUAUCUUAAAUGUACGUACUGUUUGUGAUUUGCCUUUGUAUGAGACUCUCACCUGUAAUUUUUGAGCUUUGAGUUAUCAGGGGUAGGCAAAAAUUAUGUGUCAUAUGUGCUAUUUCGUCUUUCUUUUUGAUGAACUUUUUGGAUGCUAAUCUUUUGAUUGUCUUUAUGAUAAGGCAUGGCAGAUGAUCAGUGGCAUCUUUCUUCUCUUUUGCUAGAUUCGUAUCCGCUUAUUGUUACCUGGUCGCAAGAAUGUACGGGACACUUGAUAUGAAAGGUCUUCCUUUAAGGAUAGCAUUUGUUCGUUGAGCUUAUGUUUAUAUAGGGUUAUAUUUCCGCCAGCAAGAAUAGUUGAAGGUUACACAUCUUUAACUUUGUUUAUUUUGUCACUCUAUUCAUCUUGUUUCCUCUUAUUUUCAAUUUUAUUCUUGGCAUCACAAUGAUAUGAUAGGGUUUUUCGUAUUGUUUUGCUGAAGAUUGAGAUGUUUGUUAGGAUUAUGAGGAUCUCACAAUAAUAAAGGUGGUGCUAAUGUAACACUAGAAAAAUGAUUGGGUUGUUUCCUUUAAUACAUACGGUCUCAUUUCAUUGUCUUGUAAUUAUUCUAUUUUCUUUUUUUCUUUUCAUUUUUCUUGUAAUAUUCUUUUUUCUUUUUUCUUUUUCAUUUUCUACUUAUAAAAUUAGUAUUUUAGCAUAUUUUUUUAAGUCUAUAUAACUUAUGUUAAUCGUUUAAUUAUCAGAAUAUCAGAAGAUGACAUUUUAUGUCUUAGGAUAUAAGUAUAUAUUUAAUUAAUUUGAUGUUCAAUACAUCAUCUUUCUAAACUUAAUUAAUGUAAGGUUGUUACUGCAUUAAAUGUUUGAUUGAUUUAUAUAAUUGAUGAGUAUUAAUUAAUAUAAAUUUUUAGCUUACAAUAUUUAAUAGAAAUCUCUGGUUCAUAAUCACUUUAUGAUUGUAUAAACAAAUACAAAGGGUAAAAAAAAUACGUACUGCUGAAAAAUUGUCAUAUUUCCCUUUUUUCUUCUUCUUUAUGAGUAAAUUUUUCUUUUCUUAUCUAUAUCAAAUGUACGGAAAAUUGAUUUCUGAUAUAGGUUAAUCUUUUUGAAGGUUACACACAUCUCUAACUUGUUUGUAUUCUUGUCACUCUAUUCAUUCUGUCGUUUCCUCUCUUAUUUUCAAUUUUAUUCUUUGCAUCACCAAUGAUUAUGAUAGGUUUUUUCGUAUUGUUUUGAUGAGAUUGAGGAUGUUUGUUGUAGUGCAUUAUGAGGAUCUCACAAUAAUAAAGUUGGUGCAAAUGUAACACUAGAAAAAUAUUGGAUUGGUUUCCUUUAAUACAUACGCUCAGAUGUCUUCUUAUUCUUUAGUAUCUGCUUAUCAUUCUUUAAUUAUUUUUUUCAAUUUGUUACAUACUUUCCAUAUUUAUUAAUAAUCUAAUGUUAGAUUAAUUUUCAAGGUUUUGUAUACAUAUCGCUACCAUUAAUUGUUUGAUAUGAUUUUAUAUAAUUAGGUUUACUAUAAUAUAAAUAUUUAGCUUUCAAUAUUUAAUAGAACUCUGGGUUCAUAAUCUUACUGAUUGUAUUUAUGAAAACAAUACUAACAUUAAGGUAAAAAACAUACGUACACUCUGAAAAAUUGUCUUCUUUUUUUUCCACUUGUUUUCAUUCUUUCUAUGGUUUAUUUGUCCUAAUCAUAAAUGUACGGAGACUAAUUGAUUUCUGAUAUACGGUUAAUCUUUUGAAGGUUACACAUCUCUAACUUGUCUUAUUUUGUCACUCUAUAUCAUCUUGUUUUCUCUUAUUUCAAUUUAUUCUUGCAUCACCAAUGAUUAUGAUAAGGGUUUUAUUGCAAUAUGUUUUGAGUAGAUUUGAGGUAUUUGAUUAGAUGUGUAAGAUUGAUGGGUCUCACAAUAAUAAGUUGGUGCUACAAUCGUAAACUAGAAAAUAUUGGUUAGUUUUCCUUUAAUACAUACGGUCUCAUUUAUUGUUCUUGUAAUUAUUCUAUUUUUCUUUUUUUCUUUUUCAUUUUCUUGUAAUAUUCUUUUUUCUUUUUCUUUUUCAUUUUCUACUUAUAUAAUAAGUAUUUUAGCAUAUUUUUUAAGCUAUAUAACUUAUGUUAAUCGUUUAAAUUAUCAGAAUAUAGAAGAUGACAUUUUAUGUUCUUUAGGAUAUAAGUAUAUAUUUAAUUAAUUUUGAGUUUUCAAUACAUAUCUUUCUAAACUAAUUAAUGUAAGGUUUGUUACUCUUAUAACAUGUUUGAUUGAUUUAUAUAAUUGAGGAUUUAUUAAUAUAUAAUUUUUAGCUUACAAUAUUUAAUAGAAAUCUCUGGUUCAAUAAUACUUUAUGAAUUGUAUAAAAAACAUACAAGGGAAAAAAACAUACGUACUGCUGAAAAAAUUGAAUCAUAUUUUCCUUUUUUUCUAUCUUUUAUGAGUAAUUUCUUUUCUUAUCUAUCAAAUGUACGGAACAAUUGAUUUCUGAUAAUAGGUUAAUCUUUUGAAGGUAUACACUCUCUAACUUGUUUUAUUUUGUCACUCUAUUCAUCUGUGUUUCCUCUUAUUUCAAUUUUAUUCUUGCAUCACCAAUGAUUAUGAUAGGUUUUUCGUAUUGUUUUGAUGAGAUUGAGAUGUUGUUAGGAUAUAUGAGGAUCUCACAAUAAAUAACGUUGGUGCUAAUGUACACUAGAAAAGAAUUGGUGUGGUUUCCUUUAAUACAUACGGUCUCAUUUUACUGUAUCUCUCUACUUAUUAUUUAAGUAUAAUUUUAAUUAUAUUUUAUUUCAUAAUUUUUUCAUGUUCUUUCUAUUAAUUAAUUUCAAGUUUGUUAUUAUUACAUAAAAUAACAACAUUAUUAAUGUUUGAUUUCGAAGUAUAAUAUUUUAUCUGAGGAUUAUACAGUUAAUGAUAAUAAUGGAGGUCUCUUGUAAGAUUUAUAUAUUAUGUAUAUAUAGAAACCAGAGGUAUAUAUCACUUUAUGGAUUGUAUAGAGACGAAAAAUACAAAGGGUAAAAAAACGUACUGCUGAAAAAUUGUCAUAUUUUCCUUUUUUUUUCUAUCUUUAUGAUGUAAUCUUUUUCUUAUCUAUCAAAUGUACAGGAAACAAUUGAUUUCUGAUAUAGGUUAAUCUUUUGACAGGUUACACAUCUCUAACUUUUUAUUUGUCACUUCUAUUCAUUCUUGUUUAUUCGCUCUUGAUAUUUCUAAUUUUAUUUUCUUGCAUCACCAAUGAUUAUGAUAGGGUUUUCGUAUUGUUUUUGAUGAGAUUAACGGAGAUUUGUUAGGCAUCAUGAAGGAUCUCACAAUAAUAAAGUUGGUGCUAAUGUAAACUCGAGAAAAAUGAUUGGGUUAUGGUUUCCUUUAAUACUACGGUCUCAUUUUCAUUGUCUUGUAAAUUUAUUCUAUUUUCUUUUUCUUUUCAUUUUCUUGUAAUAAUUCUUUUUUCUUUUUUCUUUUUCAUUUUCUACUUAUAAUUUAGUAUUAUUUUACGCAUAGUUUUUUAAGCCUAUAUAACUUAUGUUAAUUCGUUUAAUUAUCAGAACAGUAGAUAGACAUUUUUAUGUGCCUUUUAGGAUAUAAGUAUAUAUUUAAUUAAUUUUGAUAGUUCAUACAUAUCUUCUAAACUAAUUAAUUGUAAGCGUUUGUUACUCAAUAAAUGUUUGAUUAUCGUUAUAAAUACUUAAUUAAUAUUAGUAACUUAUUCUCUAUUUGCUUAAUAUUUAAAUAGAAUCUCUGGUUCAUAAUCACUUUAUGAUUGUAAAUAAACAAAAUACAAAGGGUACAAAAAAUACGUCAUGCUCAAAAAUUGUCAAUAUUUUCCUUUUUUUCUAUCUUUUAUGAGUAAUUUUCUUCUUAUCUUCAAAUGUACGGAACCAAUUGAUUUCUGAUAUAGGUUAACAUAACUUUUGAAUGGUUACCAUCUCUAACUGGUUUAUUUGUCAUUAUUCUAUCAUUGUGUUUCUUUCUUAUUUUCAAUUUUAUAUCUUGUCACGCUCACCAGAUUGAUAUCAUGAUAGGGUAUCUUCGUACUUGUUUUGAUGAAUUGAGAUUGUUUCUUAGAUUAUGACGUGAUCUCAGCAUACUAUAAGAGUUGGUGUCUUAAGUAAUCUAACGAGAAUAAUGCACUUGGUUGGUUCCUUUAAUACAUAAGAAGAUAAGAUAUUUUGAUGUUCUUUAAGGAUUAUAAGUUUAUAAAUAGUUAUUAAUUAAUUUUUGAUGCUUCAAUAAUAUCUUUCUACAAUUAAUCUCAAUUUCAAGCCGUUCGUGCCUAUCACUAAUGUUUGAUGAUUAUCAAUAAUUGAGGAUUUACUUAAUAUAAUAUUUACAUUACAUUUUCUACAUAGAAACCCGGCGUCUUAUAAUUACUGUUUAUUGAUGGUGUUUUAUAAAACAAUUAUACAAAGGGUUUACAAAAUUUAACUCAGUACUGCUGAAAAAUUGGUCAAUAUUUUUCGACCUGGUUUUCUUUUCUUUUCUUAUUCUGGUUUCAUGAGGAUUUUCUAUCUGUUUUAUCAAAUGUAACAGAAAAUGGAUUUUGUUAUUUACCUUGUUAGUGCUUUGUUUUCAGAGCCCUCCAACGGUCACUUCUAGUGUGGUUCCCUUCUUUUUUGUGUGUGUUACCACUACAUCCUGAUCUUCGUCAAAGAUACGUAUCAUAUGCACUCCCUACACAUUUUGGUUUCCUUUCCUUCACGUAACUGACUCUGAUGUCUAUUGGCUGGUAGACUAGUAGCCGGAUGGCGAUAUCCUGCCAUCAGUCUGGUUUGUUUUUCCUGGUGUCUCUUUCACCAGUUUGUUAGUGUUUAGCAUGUUUUUAGCAACAUGCCUUCUAUUGUGCGUUGGAUCCCUGAGUACGACGGAUCUAGGGGUGUUACCUUCUUGCAUAACACUCCGAUCCAAUUCUCUUUGGUCCGCAGACAUCUUUCCAGGUUUACGAGGCGUUCCUUUCCCUCUUGUGGAUCAUACACUGGGCGGCUUGUUUGUUCUUUCUUUCCCGUGUUUCGCGUAAUGCACACUGGCACUCUGUGGGAAUUGGAGAAGUUAGCGAUCUCUGCUGGUCCCAUCUUCCCUAAGUGAUUCGCUAGCGUUCUCUACGUGUAGCCUGGGGCUUUGGUUGCUAUGCUGUUAUUUAUGCAUUCAUUUCGAUUUACUGUUUCAUUUAAUGUGUGCAUAAUGUGGCAUUCAUUCAUAUUUCAUGCUGUUUGUCUGGUUUCUCUGGUGUGGUGGGGGUGUACGGAGUAUCGAGGUAAAGGCGCAAACCAGGCUAUGAGUGAUUCUAUGAAACCUAGGAAUAGCGUGAUUCUGGGAUGCGGGUUGCUAUGCGCCACUUAGCGGAACAUCGAUAUCACGCAGGCAGUUCGACCUGGUUUCAUCGUAGCAUCUUCGGGUGUGUAUUUUCAGAGAUGGUAUUCUGGCGAAGGUUAUUAUGUUGCGUUUUCGAGCUUACCUCUACUCUGACGGACACUCCGUCUGAGCGAGGAUGGAGAUUGAAAUUAUGAGGUACUGUUGGGCUGAUGUUGUUGGUGACUUGGGUGAUUCUUAGGUACGAUGGACUGUGAAUUAUGGACAUUAUUUCUGGGAGCGGAGUUCUGUCCAUGGGUUUUAAUAGGGUUACGUUUAUUUCGGAUCGCCCGGUGAAUGUGAGAGUACUGUUCAGGAGGAUUGGCUGUCAUCCGUUCAGUGGAUGUUUCUAUGAUGAUGAUGAUGUAAUUCCGGUUCCGUUUUUUCGGCACUCCCCAAGUCGAUUUAUGGUGACUCAGUGACUGUCUGGUUAGAGACUGUCUCAGAUGAUUUGUGGCACAGUGACUGGCAUUCAUGCAUUCAUCAUCCCAUUUCGGCAUUCAUUGCUGCAUUCACCCAAUGAUAUCCUACUCAGGUCCUUGGAUUAAGAUUCUGGUUGAGAACACUCAGAGUGUAGAAUUGUUAUUGAAUUAUCUGUUCGAUGACGAAGAUCAAAGACAGAUAUCCUGGUACGGGUAGACAUUGCAUGUGUGAGUCAUAUAACCAUUUGCUGUUUUGUAGGGUGUUCAACCGGUGCGAUAGCUCGUUUGCUCAUGAUAUCGCUGUAUGAAGGCAAACAAAUCAAAACUGAUGGAUCUUCCCAAUCAGACAUCGCUGAACUGAAAGAAUGGUAGNUUUGAUGUUCAAUACAUAUCUUUCUAAACUAAUUAAUGAUAAGGUUUGUUACUCAAUAAAUGUUUGAUUGAUUUAUAUAAUUGAUGAUUUACUUAAUAUAAUUAUUUUGCUUACAAUAUUUAAUAGAAAUCUCUGGUUCAUAAUCACUUUAUUAUUGUAUAAACAAAAUACAAAGGGUAAAAAAAUACGUACUGCUGAAAAAUUGUCAUAUUUUCCUUUUUUUUCUAUCUUUUAUGAGUAAUUUUCUUUCUUAUCUAUCAAAUGUACGGAACAAUUGAUUUUUGAUAUAGGUUAAUCUUUUGAAGGUUACACAUCUCUAACUUGUUUAUUUUGUCACUCUAUUCAUCUGUGUUUCCUCUUAUUUUCCAUUUUAUUCUUGCAUCACCAACGAUUAUGAUAGGGUUUUUCGUAUUGUUUUGAUGAGAUUGAGAUGUUUGUUAGGAUUAUGAGGAUCACACAAUAAUAAAGUUGGUGCUAAUGUAACACUAGAAAAAUGAUUGGGUUGGUUUCGUUAAUACAUACGGUCUCAUUUGCAUUGUCUUGUUAUUAUUCUUUUUUCUUUUUUUCUUUUUCAUUUUCUGGUAAUUAUUCUUUUUUCCUUUUUUCUUUUUCAUUUUCUACUUAUAUUUAGUAUUUUAGCAUAUAUUUUAAGCUAUAUAACUUAUGUUAAUCGUUUAAUUAUCAGAAUAUAGAAGAUGACAUUUUAUGUUCUUUAGGAUAUAAGUAUAUAUUUAAUUAAUUUUGAUGUUCAAUACAUAUCUUUCUAAACUAAUUAAUGUCAAGGUUUGUUACUCAAUAAAUGUUUGAUUGAUUUAUAUAAUUGAGGAUUUACUUAAUAUAAUUAUUUCGCUUACAAUAUUUAAUAGAAAUCUCUGGUUCAUAAUCACUUUAUGAUUGUAUAAACAAAAUACAAAGGGUAAAAAAAUACGUACUGCUGAAAAAUUGUCAUAUUUUCCUUUUUUUUCUAUCUUUUAUGAGUAAUUUUCUUUCUUAUCUAUCAAAUGUACGGAACAAUUGAUUUCUGAUAUAGGUUAAUCUUUUGAAGGUUACACAUCUCUAACUUGUUUAUUUUGUCACUCUAUUCAUCUGUGUUUCCUCUUAUUUUCAAUUUUAUUCUUGCAUCACCAAUGAUUAUGAUAGGGUUUUUCGUAUUGUUUUGAUGAGAUUGAGGUGUUUGUUAGGAUUAUGAGGAUCUCACAAUAAUAAAGUUGGUGCAAAUGUAACACUAGAUAAUUGAUUGGGUUGCUUUCAUUUAAUACAUACGGUCUCAUUUUCAUUGUCUUGUAAUUAUUCUUUUUCCUUUUUUUCUUUUUCAUUUUCUUGUAAUUAUUCUUUUUUCUUUUUUUCUUUUUCAUUUUCUACUUAUAAUUAGUAUUUUAGCAUAUUUUUUAAUCUAUAUAACUUAUGUUAAUCGUUUAAUUAUCAUAAUAUAGAACAUGACAUUUUAUGUUCUUUAGGAUAUAAGUAUAUAUUUAAUUAAUUUUGAUGUUCAAUACAUAUCUUUCAAAAUUAAUUAAUGUCAUGGUUUGUUACUCAUUAAAUGUUUGAAUGAUUUAUAUAAUUGAGGAUUUACUUAAUAUAAAUAUUUAGCUUGCAAUAUUUAAUAGAAAUCUCUGGUACAUAACCACUUUAUGAUUGUAUAAACAAAAUACAAAGGGUAAAAAAAUACGUACUGCUGAAAAAUUGUCAUAUUUUCCUUUUUUUUCUAUCUUUUAUGAGUAAUUUUCUUUCUUAUCUAUCAAAUGUACGGAACAAUUGAUUUCUGAUAUAGGUUAAUCUUUUGAAGGUUACACAUCUCUAACUUGUUUAUUUUGUCACUCUAUUCAUCUGUGUUUCCUCUUAUUUUCAAUUUUAUUCUUGCAUCACCAAUGAUUAUGAUAGGGUUUUUCGUAUUGUUUUGAUGAGAUUGAGAUGUUUGUUAGGAUUAUGAGGAUCUCACAAUAAUAAAGUUGGUGCUAAUGUAACACUAGAAAAAUGAUUGGGUUGGUUUCCUUUAAUACAUACGGUCUCAUUUUCAUUGUCUUGUAAUUAUUCUAUUUUCUUUUUUUCUUUUUCAUUUUCUUGUAAUUAUUCUUUUUUCUUUUUUUCUUUUUCAUUUUCUACUUAUAAUUAGUAUUUUAGCAUAUUUUUUAAUCUAUAUAACUUAUGUUAAUCGUUUAAUUAUCAGAAUAUAGAAGAUGACAUUUUAUGUUCUUUAGGAUAUAAGUAUAUAUUUAAUUAAUUUUGAUGUUCAAUACAUAUCUUUCUAAACUAAUUAAUGUCAAGGUUUGUUACUCAUUACAUGUUUGAUUGAUUUAUAUAAUUGAGGAUGUACUUAAUAUAAAUAUUUACUUUACAAUACUUAAUAGAAAACUCUGGUUCAUAAUCACUUUAUGAUUGUAUAAACAAAAUAAAAAGGGUAAAAAAAUACGUACUGCUGAAAAAUUGUCAUAUUUUCCUUUUUUUUCUAUCUUUUAUGAGUAAUUUUCUUUCUUAUCUAUCAAAUGUACAGAUCAAGUGAUUUCUGAUAUAGGUUGAUCUUUUGAAGGUUACACAUCUCUAACUUGUUUAUUUUGUCACUCUAUUCAUCUGUGUUUCCUCUUAUUUUCAAUUUUAUUCUUGCAUCACCAAUGAUUAUGAUAGGGUUUUUCGUAUUGUUUUGAUGAGAUUGAGAUGUUUGUUAGGAUUAUGAGGAUCUCACAAUAAUAAAGUUGGUGCUAAUGUAACACUAGAAAAAUGAUUGGGUUGGUUUCCUUUAAUACAUACGGUCUCAUUUUCAUUGUCUUGUAAUUAUUCUAUUUUCUUUUUUUCUUUUUCAUUUUCUUGUAAUUAUUCUUUUUUCUUUUUUUCUUUUUCAUUUUCUACUUAUAAUUAGUAUUUUAGCAUAUUUUUUAAUCUAUAUAACUUAUGUUAAUUGUUUAAUUAUCAGAAUAUAGAAGAUGACAUUUUAUGUUCUUUAGGAUAUAAGUAUAUAUUUAAUUAAUUUUGAUGUUCAAUACAUAUCUUUCUAAACUAAUUAAUGUCAAGGUUUGUUACUCAUUACAUGUUUGAUUGAUUUAUAUAAUUGAGGAUGUACUUAAUAUAAAUAUUUAGCUUACAUUAUUUAAUAGAAAUCUCUGGUUCAUAAUCACUUUAUGAUUGUAUAAACAAAAUACAAAGGGUAAAAAAAUACGUACUGCUGAAAAAUUGUCAUAUUUUCCUUUUUUUUCUAUCUUUUAUGAGUAAUUUUCUUUCUUAUCUAUCAAAUGUACAGAUCAAGUGAUUUCUGAUAUAGGUUGAUCUUUUGAAGGUUACACAUCUCUAACUUGUUUAUUUUGUCACUCUAUUCAUCUGUGUUUCCUCUUAUUUUCAAUUUUAUUCUUGCAUCACCAAUGAUUAUGAUAGGGUUUUUCGUAUUGUUUUGAUGAGAUUGAGAUGUUUGUUAGGAUUAUGAGGAUCUCACAAUAAUAAAGUUGGUGCUAAUGUAACACUAGAAAAAUGAUUGGGUUGGUUUCCUUUAAUACAUACGGUCUCAUUUUCAUUGUCUUGUAAUUAUUCUAUUUUCUUUUUUUCUUUUUCAUUUUCUUGUAAUUAUUCUUUUUUCUUUUUUUCUUUUUCAUUUUCUACUUAUAAUUAGUAUUUUAGCAUAUUUUUUAAUCUAUAUAACUUAUGUUAAUUGUUUAAUUAUCAGAAUAUAGAAGAUGACAUUUUAUGUUCUUUAGGAUAUAAGUAUAUAUUUAAUUAAUUUUGAUGUUCAAUACAUAUCUUUCUAAACUAAUUAAUGUCAAGGUUUGUUACUCAUUACAUGUUUGAUUGAUUUAUAUAAUUGAGGAUGUACUUAAUAUAAAUAUUUAGCUUACAUUAUUUAAUAGAAAUCUCUGGUUCAUAAUCACUUUAUGAUUGUAUAAACAAAAUACAAAGGGUAAAAAAAUACGUACUGCUGAAAAAUUGUCAUAUUUUCCUUUUUUUUCUAUCUUUUAUGAGUAAUUUUCUUUCUUAUCUAUCAAAUGUACAGAUCAAGUGAUUUCUGAUAUAGGUUGAUCUUUUGAAGGUUACACAUCUCUAACUUGUUUAUUUUGUCACUCUAUUCAUCUGUGUUUCCUCUUAUUUUCAAUUUUAUUCUUGCAUCACCAAUGAUUAUGAUAGGGUUUUUCGUAUUGUUUUGAUGAGAUUGAGAUGUUUGUUAGGAUUAUGAGGAUCUCACAAUAAUAAAGUUGGUGCUAAUGUAACACUAGAAAAAUGAUUGGGUUGGUUUCCUUUAAUACAUACGGUCUCAUUUUCAUUGUCUUGUAAUUAUUCUAUUUUCUUUUUUUCUUUUUCAUUUUCUUGUAAUUAUUCUUUUUUCUUUUUUUCUUUUUCAUUUUCUACUUAUAAUUAGUAUUUUAGCAUAUUUUUUAAUCUAUAUAACUUAUGUUAAUUGUUUAAUUAUCAGAAUAUAGAAGAUGACAUUUUAUGUUCUUUAGGAUAUAAGUAUAUAUUUAAUUAAUUUUGAUGUUCAAUACAUAUCUUUCUAAACUAAUUAAUGUCAAGGUUUGUUACUCAUUACAUGUUUGAUUGAUUUAUAUAAUUGAGGAUGUACUUAAUAUAAAUAUUUAGCUUACAUUAUUUAAUAGAAAUCUCUGGUUCAUAAUCACUUUAUGAUUGUAUAAACAAAAUACAAAGGGUAAAAAAAUACGUACUGCUGAAAAAUUGUCAUAUUUUCCUUUUUUUUCUAUCUUUUAUGAGUAAUUUUCUUUCUUAUCUAUCAAAUGUACAGAUCAAGUGAUUUCUGAUAUAGGUUGAUCUUUUGAAGGUUACACAUCUCUAACUUGUUUAUUUUGUCACUCUAUUCAUCUGUGUUUCCUCUUAUUUUCAAUUUUAUUCUUGCAUCACCAAUGAUUAUGAUAGGGUUUUUCGUAUUGUUUUGAUGAGAUUGAGAUGUUUGUUAGGAUUAUGAGGAUCUCACAAUAAUAAAGUUGGUGCUAAUGUAACACUAGAAAAAUGAUUGGGUUGGUUUCCUUUAAUACAUACGGUCUCAUUUUCAUUGUCUUGUAAUUAUUCUAUUUUCUUUUUUUCUUUUUCAUUUUCUUGUAAUUAUUCUUUUUUCUUUUUUUCUUUUUCAUUUUCUACUUAUAAUUAGUAUUUUAGCAUAUUUUUUAAUCUAUAUAACUUAUGUUAAUUGUUUAAUUAUCAGAAUAUAGAAGAUGACAUUUUAUGUUCUUUAGGAUAUAAGUAUAUAUUUAAUUAAUUUUGAUGUUCAAUACAUAUCUUUCUAAAUUAAUAAAUGUCAUGGUUUGUUACUCAUUAAAUGUUUGAAUGAUUUAUAUAAUUGAGGAUUUACUUAAUAUAAAUAUUUAGCUUGCAAUAUUUAAUAGAAAUCUCUGGUACAUAACCACUUUAUGAUUGUAUAAACAAAAUAAGAAGGGUAAAAAAAUACGUACUGCUGAAAAAUUGUCAUAUUUUCCUUUUUUUUCUAUCUUUUAUGAGUAAUUUUCUAUCUUAUCUUUCAAAUGUACAGAAUAAUUGAUUUCUGAUAUAGGUUAAUCUUUUGAAGGUUACACAUCUCUAACUUGCUUAUUUUGUCACUCUAUUCAUCUGUGUUUCCUCUUAUUGUCAAUUUUAUUCUUGCAUCACCAAUGAUUAUGAUAGUGUUUUUCGUAUUGUUUUGAUGAGAUUGAGAUGUUUGUUAGGAUUAUGAGGAUCUCACAAUAAUAAAGUUGGUGCUAAUGUAACACUAGAAAAAUGAUUGGGUUGGUUUCCUUUAAUACAUACGGUCUCAUUUUCAUUGUCUUGUAAUUAUUCUAUUUUCUUUUUUUCUUUUUCAUUUUCUUGUAAUUAUUCUUUUUUCUUUUUUUCUUUUUCAUUUUCUACUUAUAAUUAGUAUUUUAGCAUAUUUUUUAAGCUAUAUAACUUAUGUUAAUCGUUUAAUUAUCAGAAUAUAGAAGAUGACAUUUUAUGUUCUUUAGGAUAUAAGUAUAUAUUUAAUUAAUUUUGAUGUUCAAUACAUAUCUUUCUAAACUAGUUAAUGUCAAGGUUUGUUACUCAAUAAAUGUUUGAUUGAUUUAUAUAAUUGAGGAUUUACUUAAUAUAAUUAUUUAGCUUACAAUAUUUAAUAGAAAUCUCUGGUUCAUAAUCACUUUAUGAUUGUAUAAACAAAAUACAAAGGGUAAAAAAAUACGUACUGCUGAAAAAUUGUCAUAUUUUCCUUUUUUUUCUAUCUUUUAUGAGUAAUUUUCUUUCUUAUCUAUCAAAUGUACGGAACAAUUGAUUUCUGAUAUAGGUUAAUCUUUUGAAGGUUACACAUCUCUAACUUGUUUAUUUUGUCACUCUAUUCAUCUGUGUUUCCUCUUAUUUUCAAUUUUAUUCUUGCAUCACCAAUGAUUAUGAUAGGGUUUUUCGUAUUGUUUUGAUGAGAUUGAGAUGUUUGUUAGGAUUAUGAGGAUCUCACAAUAAUAAAGUUGGUGCUAAUGUAACACUAGAAAAAUGAUUGGGUUGGUUUCCUUUAAUACAUACGGUCUCAUUUUCAUUGUCUUGUAAUUAUUCUAUUUUCUUUUUUUCUUUUUCAUUUUCUUGUAAUUAUUCUUUUUUCUUUUUUUCUUUUUCAUUUUCUACUUAUAAUUAGUAUUUUAGCAUAUUUUUUAAUCUAUAUAACUUAUGUUAAUCGUUUAAUUAUCAGAAUAUAGAAGAUGACAUUUUAUGUUCUUUAGGAUAUAAGUAUAUAUUUAAUUAAUUUUGAUGUUCAAUACAUAUCUUUCUAAACUAGUUAAUGUCAAGGUUUGUUACUCAAUAAAUGUUUGAUUGAUUUAUAUAAUUGAGGAUUUACUUAAUAUAAUUAUUUAGCUUACAAUAUUUAAUAGAAAUCUCUGGUUCAUAAUCACUUUAUGAUUGUAUAAACAAAAUACAAAGGGUAAAAAAAUACGUACUGCUGAAAAAUUGUCAUAUUUUCCUUUUUUUUCUAUCUUUUAUGAGUAAUUUUCUUUCUUAUCUAUCAAAUGUACGGAACAAUUGAUUUCUGAUAUAGGUUAAUCUUUUGAAGGUUACACAUCUCUAACUUGUUUAUUUUGUCACUCUAUUCAUCUGUGUUUCCUCUUAUUUUCAAUUUUAUUCUUGCAUCACCAAUGAUUAUGAUAGGGUUUUUCGUAUUGUUUUGAUGAGAUUGAGAUGUUUGUUAGGAUUAUGAGGAUCUCACAAUAAUAAAGUUGGUGCUAAUGUAACACUAGAAAAAUGAUUGGGUUGGUUUCCUUUAAUACAUACGGUCUCAUUUUCAUUGUCUUGUAAUUAUUCUAUUUUCUUUUUUUCUUUUUCAUUUUCUUGUAAUUAUUCUUUUUUCUUUUUUUCUUUUUCAUUUUCUACUUAUAAUUAGUAUUUUAGCAUAUUUUUUAAGCUAUAUAACUUAUGUUAAUCGUUUAAUUAUCAGAAUAUAGAAGAUGACAUUUUAUGUUCUUUAGGAUAUAAGUAUAUAUUUAAUUAAUUUUGAUGUUCAAUACAUAUCUUUCUAAACUAGUUAAUGUCAAGGUUUGUUACUCAAUAAAUGUUUGAUUGAUUUAUAUAAUUGAGGAUUUACUUAAUAUAAUUAUUUAGCUUACAAUAUUUAAUAGAAAUCUCUGGUUCAUAAUCACUUUAUGAUUGUAUAAACAAAAUACAAAGGGUAAAAAAAUACGUACUGCUGAAAAAUUGUCAUAUUUUCCUUUUUUUUCUAUCUUUUAUGAGUAAUUUUCUUUCUUAUCUAUCAAAUGUACGGAACAAUUGAUUUCUGAUAUAGGUUAAUCUUUUGAAGGUUACACAUCUCUAACUUGUUUAUUUUGUCACUCUAUUCAUCUGUGUUUCCUCUUAUUUUCAAUUUUAUUCUUGCAUCACCAAUGAUUAUGAUAGGGUUUUUCGUAUUGUUUUGAUGAGAUUGAGAUGUUUGUUAGGAUUAUGAGGAUCUCACAAUAAUAAAGUUGGUGCUAAUGUAACACUAGAAAAAUGAUUGGGUUGGUUUCCUUUAAUACAUACGGUCUCAUUUUCAUUGUCUUGUAAUUAUUCUAUUUUCUUUUUUUCUUUUUCAUUUUCUUGUAAUUAUUCUUUUUUCUUUUUUUCUUUUUCAUUUUCUACUUAUAAUUAGUAUUUUAGCAUAUUUUUUAAUCUAUAUAACUUAUGUUAAUCGUUUAAUUAUCAGAAUAUAGAAGAUGACAUUUUAUGUUCUUUAGGAUAUAAGUAUAUAUUUAAUUAAUUUUGAUGUUCAAUACAUAUCUUUCUAAACUAGUUAAUGUCAAGGUUUGUUACUCAAUAAAUGUUUGAUUGAUUUAUAUAAUUGAGGAUUUACUUAAUAUAAUUAUUUAGCUUACAAUAUUUAAUAGAAAUCUCUGGUUCAUAAUCACUUUAUGAUUGUAUAAACAAAAUACAAAGGGUAAAAAAAUACGUACUGCUGAAAAAUUGUCAUAUUUUCCUUUUUUUUCUAUCUUUUAUGAGUAAUUUUCUUUCUUAUCUAUCAAAUGUACGGAACAAUUGAUUUCUGAUAUAGGUUAAUCUUUUGAAGGUUACACAUCUCUAACUUGUUUAUUUUGUCACUCUAUUCAUCUGUGUUUCCUCUUAUUUUCAAUUUUAUUCUUGCAUCACCAAUGAUUAUGAUAGGGUUUUUCGUAUUGUUUUGAUGAGAUUGAGAUGUUUGUUAGGAUUAUGAGGAUCUCACAAUAAUAAAGUUGGUGCUAAUGUAACACUAGAAAAAUGAUUGGGUUGGUUUCCUUUAAUACAUACGGUCUCAUUUUCAUUGUCUUGUAAUUAUUCUAUUUUCUUUUUUUCUUUUUCAUUUUCUUGUAAUUAUUCUUUUUUCUUUUUUUCUUUUUCAUUUUCUACUUAUAAUUAGUAUUUUAGCAUAUUUUUUAAUCUAUAUAACUUAUGUUAAUCGUUUAAUUAUCAGAAUAUAGAAGAUGACAUUUUAUGUUCUUUAGGAUAUAAGUAUAUAUUUAAUUAAUUUUGAUGUUCAAUACAUAUCUUUCUAAACUAGUUAAUGUCAAGGUUUGUUACUCAAUAAAUGUUUGAUUGAUUUAUAUAAUUGAGGAUUUACUUAAUAUAAUUAUUUAGCUUACAAUAUUUAAUAGAAAUCUCUGGUUCAUAAUCACUUUAUGAUUGUAUAAACAAAAUACAAAGGGUAAAAAAAUACGUACUGCUGAAAAAUUGUCAUAUUUUCCUUUUUUUUCUAUCUUUUAUGAGUAAUUUUCUUUCUUAUCUAUCAAAUGUACGGAACAAUUGAUUUCUGAUAUAGGUUAAUCUUUUGAAGGUUACACAUCUCUAACUUGUUUAUUUUGUCACUCUAUUCAUCUGUGUUUCCUCUUAUUUUCAAUUUUAUUCUUGCAUCACCAAUGAUUAUGAUAGGGUUUUUCGUAUUGUUUUGAUGAGAUUGAGAUUUUUGUUAGGAUUAUGAGGAUCUCACAAUAAUAAACGUGGUGCUAGUGUAACACUGGAAAACUUAUUUAGUUGGUUUCCUUUAUACCAUACGGUCUCAUUUAAAUUUGUUGUUAUUAUUCUAUUUCAUUUUUUUUAUUUUUUAUUUUCUUGUAAUUAUUCUAUUUUGUUUUUUUCUUUUUCAUUUUCUACAUAUAAUUAGUAUUUUAGCAAAUUUUUUAAUCUGUAUAACUUAUAUUAAUUGUUUAAUAUCACAAUAUAGAAGAUGACAUUUUAUGUUCUUAAGGAUAUAAGUAUAUAUUUAAUUAAUUUUGAUGUUCAAUACAUAUCUUUCUAAACUAAUUAAUGUCAAGGUUUGUUACUCACUAAAUGUUUGAAUGAUUUAUAUAAUUGAGGAUUUACUUAAUAUAAAUAUUUAGCCUACAAUAUUUAAUAAAAACCUCUGGUUCAUAAUCACUUUAUGAUUGUAUAAACAAAGUACAAAGGGUAAAAAAAUACGUACUGCUGAAAAAUUGUCAUUUUUUCCUUUUUUUUCUAUCUUUUAAGUGUAAUUUUCUUUCUUAUCUAUCAAAUGUACGGAACAAUUGAUUUCUGAUAUAGGUUAAUCUUUUGAAGGUUACACAUCUCUAACUUGUUUAUUUUGUCACUCUAUUCAUCUGUGUUUCCUCUUAUUUUCAAUUUUAUUCUUGCAUCACCAAUGAUUAUGAUAGGGUUUUUCGUAUUGUUUUGAUGAGAUUGAGGUGUUUGUUAGGAUUAUGAGGAUCUCACAAUAAUAAAGUUGGUGCUAAUGUAACACUAGAAAAAUGAUUGGGUUGGUUUCCUUUAAUACAUACGGUCUCAUUUUCAUUGUCUUGUAAUUAUUCUAUUUUCUUUUUUUCUUUUUCAUUUUCUUGUAAUUAUUCUUUUUUCUUUUUUUCUUUUUCAUUUUCUACUUAUAAUUAGUAUUUUAGCAUAUUUUUUAAGCUAUAUAACUUAUGUUAAUCGUUUAAUUAUCAGAAUAUAGAAGAUGACAUUUUAUGUUCUUUAGGAUAUAAGUAUAUAUUUAAUUAAUUUUGAUGUUCAAUACAUAUCUUUCUAAACUAGUUAAUGUCAAGGUUUGUUACUCAAUAAAUGUUUGAUUGAUUUAUAUAAUUGAGGAUUUACUUAAUAUAAUUAUUUAGCUUACAAUAUUUAAUAGAAAUCUCUGGUUCAUAAUCACUUUAUGAUUGUAUAAACAAAAUACAAAGGGUAAAAAAAUACGUACUGCUGAAAAAUUGUCAUAUUUUCCUUUUUUUUCUAUCUUUUAUGAGUAAUUUUCUUUCUUAUCUAUCAAAUGUACGGAACAAUUGAUUUCUGAUAUAGGUUAAUCUUUUGAAGGUUACACAUCUCUAACUUGUUUAUUUUGUCACUCUAUUCAUCUGUGUUUCCUCUUAUUUUCAAUUUUAUUCUUGCAUCACCAAUGAUUAUGAUAGGGUUUUUCGUAUUGUUUUGAUGAGAUUGAGAUGUUUGUUAGGAUUAUGAGGAUCUCACAAUAAUAAAGUUGGUGCUAAUGUAACACUAGAAAAAUGAUUGGGUUGGUUUCCUUUAAUACAUACGGUCUCAUUUUCAUUGUCUUGUAAUUAUUCUAUUUUCUUUUUUUCUUUUUCAUUUUCUUGUAAUUAUUCUUUUUUCUUUUUUUCUUUUUCAUUUUCUACUUAUAAUUAGUAUUUUAGCAUAUUUUUUAAGCUAUAUAACUUAUGUUAAUCGUUUAAUUAUCAGAAUAUAGAAGAUGACAUUUUAUGUUCUUUAGGAUAUAAGUAUAUAUUUAAUUAAUUUUGAUGUUCAAUACAUAUCUUUCUAAACUAGUUAAUGUCAAGGUUUGUUACUCAAUAAAUGUUUGAUUGAUUUAUAUAAUUGAGGAUUUACUUAAUAUAAUUAUUUAGCUUACAAUAUUUAAUAGAAAUCUCUGGUUCAUAAUCACUUUAUGAUUGUAUAAACAAAAUACAAAGGGUAAAAAAAUACGUACUGCUGAAAAAUUGUCAUAUUUUCCUUUUUUUUCUAUCUUUUAUGAGUAAUUUUCUUUCUUAUCUAUCAAAUGUACGGAACAAUUGAUUUCUGAUAUAGGUUAAUCUUUUGAAGGUUACACAUCUCUAACUUGUUUAUUUUGUCACUCUAUUCAUCUGUGUUUCCUCUUAUUUUCAAUUUUAUUCUUGCAUCACCAAUGAUUAUGAUAGGGUUUUUCGUAUUGUUUUGAUGAGAUUGAGAUGUUUGUUAGGAUUAUGAGGAUCUCACAAUAAUAAAGUUGGUGCUAAUGUAACACUAGAAAAAUGAUUGGGUUGGUUUCCUUUAAUACAUACGGUCUCAUUUUCAUUGUCUUGUAAUUAUUCUAUUUUCUUUUUUUCUUUUUCAUUUUCUUGUAAUUAUUCUUUUUUCUUUUUUUCUUUUUCAUUUUCUACUUAUAAUUAGUAUUUUAGCAUAUUUUUUAAGCUAUAUAACUUAUGUUAAUCGUUUAAUUAUCAGAAUAUAGAAGAUGACAUUUUAUGUUCUUUAGGAUAUAAGUAUAUAUUUAAUUAAUUUUGAUGUUCAAUACAUAUCUUUCUAAACUAGUUAAUGUCAAGGUUUGUUACUCAAUAAAUGUUUGAUUGAUUUAUAUAAUUGAGGAUUUACUUAAUAUAAUUAUUUAGCUUACAAUAUUUAAUAGAAAUCUCUGGUUCAUAAUCACUUUAUGAUUGUAUAAACAAAAUACAAAGGGUAAAAAAAUACGUACUGCUGAAAAAUUGUCAUAUUUUCCUUUUUUUUCUAUCUUUUAUGAGUAAUUUUCUUUCUUAUCUAUCAAAUGUACGGAACAAUUGAUUUCUGAUAUAGGUUAAUCUUUUGAAGGUUACACAUCUCUAACUUGUUUAUUUUGUCACUCUAUUCAUCUGUGUUUCCUCUUAUUUUCAAUUUUAUUCUUGCAUCACCAAUGAUUAUGAUAGGGUUUUUCGUAUUGUUUUGAUGAGAUUGAGAUGUUUGUUAGGAUUAUGAGGAUCUCACAAUAAUAAAGUUGGUGCUAAUGUAACACUAGAAAAAUGAUUGGGUUGGUUUCCUUUAAUACAUACGGUCUCAUUUUCAUUGUCUUGUAAUUAUUCUAUUUUCUUUUUUUCUUUUUCAUUUUCUUGUAAUUAUUCUUUUUUCUUUUUUUCUUUUUCAUUUUCUACUUAUAAUUAGUAUUUUAGCAUAUUUUUUAAGCUAUAUAACUUAUGUUAAUCGUUUAAUUAUCAGAAUAUAGAAGAUGACAUUUUAUGUUCUUUAGGAUAUAAGUAUAUAUUUAAUUAAUUUUGAUGUUCAAUACAUAUCUUUCUAAACUAGUUAAUGUCAAGGUUUGUUACUCAAUAAAUGUUUGAUUGAUUUAUAUAAUUGAGGAUUUACUUAAUAUAAUUAUUUCGCUUACAAUAUUUAAUAGAAAUCUCUGGUUCAUAAUCACUUUAUGAUUGUAUAAACAAAAUACAAAGGGUAAAAAAAUACGUACUGCUGAAAAAUUGUCAUAUUUUCCUUUUUUUUCUAUCUUUUAUGAGUAAUUUUCUUUCUUAUCUAUCAAAUGUACGGAACAAUUGAUUUCUGAUAUAGGUUAAUCUUUUGAAGGUUACACAUCUCUAACUUGUUUAUUUUGUCACUCUAUUCAUCUGUGUUUCCUCUUAUUUUCAAUUUUAUUCUUGCAUCACCAAUGAUUAUGAUAGGGUUUUUCGUAUUGUUUUGAUGAGAUUGAGAUGUUUGUUAGGAUUAUGAGGAUCUCACAAUAAUAAAGUUGGUGCUAAUGUAACACUAGAAAAAUGAUUGGGUUGGUUUCCUUUAAUACAUACGGUCUCAUUUUCAUUGUCUUGUAAUUAUUCUAUUUUAUUUUUUUCUUUUUCAUUUUCUUAUAAUUAUUCUUUUUUCUUUUUUUUCUUUUUCAUUUUCUACUUAUAAUUAGUAUUUUAGCAUAUUUUUUAAUCAAAAUAACUUAUGUUAAUCGUUUAAUUAUCAAAAAAUAAAAGAUGACAUUUUAUGUUCUUUAGGAUAUAAGUAUAUAUUUAUUUAAUUUUGAUGUUCAAUACAUAUCUUUCUAAACUAACUAAUGUGAAGGUUUGUUACUCAAUAAAUGUUUGAUUUAUUUAUAUAUUUGAGGAUUUACUUAAUUUAAUUAUUUUGCAUACAAUAUUUAAUAGAAAUCUCUGAUUCAUAAUCACUUUAUGAUUAAAUAAACAAAAUACAAAGGGUAAAAAAAUACGUACUGCUGAAAAAUUGUCAUAUUUUCCUUUUUUUUCUAUCUUUUAUGAGUAAUUUUGUUUCUUAUCUAUCAAAUGUACGGAACAAUUGAUUUCUGAUAUAGGUUAAUCUUUUGAAGGUUACACAUCUCUAACUUGUUUAUUUUGUCACUCUAUUCAUCUGUGUUUCCUCUUAUUUUCAAUUUUAAGUACAGAACAAUUGAUUUCUGAUAUAGGUUAAUCUUUUGAAGGUUACACAUCUCUAACUUGUUUAUUUUGUCACUCUAUUCAUCUGUGUUUCCUCUUAUUUUCAAUUUUAUUCUUGCAUCACCAAUGAUUAUGAUAAGGUUUUUCAUAUUGUUUUGAUGAGAUUAAGAUGUUUGUAAGGAUUAUGAGGAUCUCACAAUAAUAAAGUUGGUGCUAAUGUAACACUAGAUAAAUGAUUGGGUUGGUUUCCUUUAAUACAUACGGUCUCAUUUUCAUUGUCUUGUAAUUAUUCUUAUUUCUUUUUUUCUUUUUCAUUUUCUUGUAAUUAUUCUUUUUUCUUUUUUUCUUUUUCUUUUUCUACUUAUAAUUAGUAUUUUUGCAUAUUUUUUAAUCUAUAUAACUUAUGUUAAUCGUUUAAUUAUCAGAAUAUAAAAGAUGACAUUUUAUGUUCUUUAGGAUAUAAGUAUAUAUUUAAUUAAUUUUGAUGUUCAAUACAUAUCUUUCUAAAUUAAUUAAUUUCAAGGUUUGUU